rnacentral:lncRNA from 1 species
CACUGGCAAGGCCCCGCUCCCAUCCCUCGCAGAGCCCGGCCAGCCCAAGGGGGUGUAGGGCGGGGCGCUAAGGGGCGGGACUGUCGCUUAAAGGGCCACUGACCGCUGCCCUUAGGCCACUUCCUGGGGGUGGAGAGGACCUCAGUAGCUGCUGCGACAACCCAGGAAGGCGGUAACGCCCAAGUCCUGGGACUGUUUGUUUCCAACAGAGUCCUGGGACACUGUCAGCUCUGACUGCGAGAGCAUCGUCUCCCCUCAGCCAUACAGAACUGCUGGCCACUGGCUCCUAUCAGUUGCGCCUCCAUCUUUUGGGACUCGCGCCCCUAACCCUGGUUGGGGCUCUGGACAGGUCCUCGGAACCCGGCGUGGACUCUACUAAAAAAAGCUCAGAAACUCAGGAGCUGAAGGCAGCGUCCGACCGGUGCUCGCCACCGUCACCUGCUGGUUGAAUUCCGGAAACCCACUGUCUGAAGUAUACAGGAGGGAAUCGCUGACCACGCACAAUCAGAAUCGUCUGGACCAAAAGCUCCCUGAUCCUGUGUGGCUGCCUUCUGUUCUUUACAUCGGUCCUUUCAUUCUUUCGGGGAUUUCUGUGUCCUGAAGCUCCCAACCAGCAUCAAAGUAGCUUGGAUGAGGUGUCCAUGAACCAAAUCACAGAGAAAACUCACCGAGUCCUGAGGGUCAUA